rnacentral:rRNA from 1 species
GUGGGGAAUCUUAGACAAUGGGCGCAAGCCUGAUCUAGCCAUGCCGCGUGAGUGAUGAAGGCCCUAGGGUUGUAAAGCUCUUUCAGCUGGGAAGAUAAUGACGGUACCAGCAGAAGAAGCCCCGGCUAACUCCGUGCCAGCAGCCGCGGUAAUACGGAGGGGGCUAGCGUUGUUCGGAAUUACUGGGCGUAAAGCGCGCGUAGGCGGACUGAAAAGUUGGGGGUGAAAUCCCGGGGCUCAACCUCGGAACUGCCUUCAAAACUAUCAGUCUGGAGUUCGAGAGAGGUGAGCGGAAUUCCGAGUGUAGAGGUGAAAUUCGUAGAUAUUCGGAGGAACACCAGUGGCGAAGGCGGCUCACUGGCUCGAUACUGACGCUGAGGUGCGAAAGCGUGGGGAGCAAACAGGAUUAGAAACCCCUGUAGUCC